GACGAACGCUGGCGGCGUGCUUAACACAUGCAAGUCGAACGGAAAGGCCCUGCUUUUGUGGGGUGCUCGAGUGGCGAACGGGUGAGUAACAAGUGAGUAACCUGCCCUUGACUUUGGGAUAACUUCAGGAAACUGGGGCUCAUACCGGAUAGGAGCUCCUGCUGCAUGGUGGGGGUUGGAAAGUUUCGGCGGUGGGGGAUGGACUCGCGGCUUAUCAGCUUGUUGGUGGGGUAGUGGCUUACCAAGGCUUUGACGGGUAGCCGGCCUGAGAGGGUGACCGGCCACAUUGGGACUGGGAUACGGCCCAGACUCCUACGGGAGGCAGCAGGGGGGAAUAUUGCACAAUGGGCGGAGGCCGGAUGCAGCAACGCCGCGUGCGGGAUGACGGCCUUCGGGUGGUAAACCGCUUUCGCCUGUGACGAAGCGUGAGUGACGGUAAUGGGUAAAGAAGCACCGGCUAACUACGUG
rnacentral:rRNA from 1 species